rnacentral:rRNA from 1 species
GACGAACGCUGGCGGCGUGCUUAACACAUGCAAGUCGAACGAACAGACCCUGCUUUUGUUGGUUUCUCGUUUGGCGCACGGGUGUGUAACACGUGAGUAACCUCCCCUUAUCUUUCUGAUAUCUUCUCGAAACUCCGGCUCUUAUCCGAUAUAAUCUCCUGCUGCAUGUUGUUGGUUGGUAAAUUUCGGCUGUUGGGGAUGGACUCGCGGCUUCUCCGCCUGUUUGUGUGGUAGUGGCUUACCAAGCCUUUGACGGGUAGCCGGCCUGAGAGGGUUACCGGCGACAUUGGGACUGAGAGACGGCCCAGACGCGUAAGGGAGGCAGCAGGGGGGAAUAUUGCAGAAUGGGCGGGAGCCUGAUGCAGAAACGCCGCGUGCGGGAUGACGGCCUUCGGGGGGUAAACAGAUGUGGAAGGAGACAAAGAGGGAGUGACGGUAAUGGGUAAAGAAGCAACGGCUAACUACGUG